AUUGAACGCUGGCGGCGGGCCUAACACAUGCAAGUCGAACGAGUGGCGGACGGGUGAGUCAUGUCUGGGAAACUGCCUGAUGGGGGGGGAUAACUACUGGAAACGGUAGCUAAUCCCGCAUACCAUCGGAUGUGCACAGAUGUGCUUAGCUCGUAGGGGGGGUAAAGGCUCACCUAGGCGACGAACCCUAGCUGGUCUGAGAGGAUGACCAGCCUAAUUGGAACGGAGACAAGGUCCAGAAUCCUCCGGGAGGCAGGAGUGGGGAAGAUGGCACAAUGGGCGCAAGCCUGAUGCGGAGAUGCGGGGUGGAGGAGGAAGGCAUGCGGGUUGUAAAGUAUUUUCAGCGGGGAGGCGUUACCCGCAGAAGAAGCACCGGCUAACUCCGUGCCAGCAGCCGCGGUAAUAC
rnacentral:rRNA from 1 species